rnacentral:lncRNA from 1 species
UUCUCUUUAUUUCACAGAGCACAGAACCAACUCCUGAUUCAUCAAUAUCAUAUUAGUUCUCUCUAAAGCUUCCCUUUAAUUUACGGUUUUAAACCUUCUCUUGUUCUAGUUUGUGAGUAAAUUAAGAGAGACCAAAAAUGAGUGUGGAGAUUUUGGAUGGUGCCACCAUUGUCAACUUUCUGGAGGACGAGGAAGCAUUCAGCGCGCAAAUAUGUGACCGCUUCGCCCACCUUGAUUCAGACCAUGAUGGCCGGCUUUCCUACGGGGAAAUGUUGAAGGAGCUGCAGUGUUUGAGGUUAUUGGAAACCCACUUCGGCGUAGAUGUGGAAACAGACCCGGAUGAGCUUGCUCUCGUCUAUGGUUCUCUUUUUGUCCAAUUUGAUCAUGACUUGAAUGGGACAGUGGACUUAGAAGAGUUCAAGUCAGAGACCAAGCAAAUGAUGCUAGUCAUGGCCAGUGGUAUGGGUUUCUUGCCUGUUCAGAUGGUACUGGAAGAAGACAGUUUCCUGAAGAAGGCUGUGGAGUGGGAAUCUGCUAAACUCGUUGCCUGAUUAAUUCCACAUCCAUUACCCUAUACAUGACUCAUUAAUUGUCUUCGUUAUUUCUUUCUUCUCCGAAUGCAUUCCGAGUUUAGCUGAAUGUAGCAAAGAAAAUAAAUGAAAUGCUCUGUUAUUGGUGCAAUUUGGUCAUGACCAUCCAGCCAUAGUUAAUAUAACAAAAGGCUGACAGAAACACAAAUAUCUUUCCUCUUUCAAGAGGGCUUCAUAAAUGGGCACAAGGAUUGAGCUGGAUCCAUCUCGGUCAUCGCUCAAAAUUUAGCUUCAAGGGAAUGGAAUUGGUAGAACAGAGUAGCAUCAGAAUGGGAAAAGAACUUGCUUGUGGAGGGAACAGAUGAAAAUUAAAGAAAUAACUGUCCUAAUAUAAAGUAUAGUUAAAUUAAAACUUCGAGUCGAAUCUGUUGUGCGUCUAAACACCUAAUUCCAUCAUGAUUUGUUUAGCAUGCGUAUGAAACAAACUUCCCGCAUUGAAAAGAGGGAAGCAUCAAGCACUUAAUAUCCUAUAUAUGCAGGAACGCUACUUGAACAAAGAACCUGGAUGGUUAAAAACAACACACUUGCAGGCUUGUAGCUCCUGAUAUUUUCAGCUCAUGUGAAGAUGGACAAUGAUGGUUGAAAAAUCUUUGUAUGUUUUAUUUGAGUAGAAUACUCAUUACAAUAUUAUCAUUUUAAAAAAAUUUGUCUUUUUCAUCUAGACAUGUUGCCCAUUAUAAUAAGACCACUCGAAAAAAAUCUUUGUGUUUCUUUACUUGGAUAGGUUAUCCAUUACUAUGAGACUACUUUGAAAAGAUCUUUGAGUUUUUUAUUUGGGUGGGUCACCCAUGACAAAUUGAACAUUUCAGAAUCUUUGAAUUCUACCAAUAGACAGGUUGUUUGGUACUACCAUAUCACUUCAAAAGUCUUUCACAAAGAUAAUCUUUUUCUUUAGAAACUCUAUCUCCUUUUCUUUCAUGUACACUUUCUAACCCUCGUUUUUUAGAAAGUGUGAUUUUUAUCCUUAUCUAUUUUUUCUCUGAGUGCGCUUUUAAGCCCUCAUUGCAAACAUUUUUCAGAAGGAUUGACCAUUUUUUAAUAUGGUGAGUCCAUAAUCUCGUUCUUUUCUUCUUCUUUACAAAGCUUAUUGUCUAAAGUCUCUCACAAGACUCUCGUUAUAAACAUUGUAAAAAGAGGGGGCAACUGUCAUAAUUCAUUUCUGGAUUAUUUUCUAAAUUCACCUUUUUUCUUUCCAAAAUAAAAGUCAAAAAAGAAAAUAAAGAAAGCAAGAAAACUAGCGACUUGGAAAAGUAGGCUGAAGAGGAUUUCAUACUGGAGAGACAAUGCAAAUUAAAUGGUUAUUGGAUGAAUCUAUUUAAAAAUUAAGCCCGGGGAUAUAAUUAGAAUUUUAAUAGGCCAAUUUGAUUUAAUCAUGGGCCAAAUUGAGAAUUUAAUUAUGUUUAAGAAUUAAUUUGGGUCCAAUUAAAGGAUUUAAUUAGGUGCAAGAACUUAAUUAUACAUUAAAUAUGUCAAAUUAAUUUUAUUAAGAGCUUAAUUGAUGAAAAUCUAAGUUUAGAAGCCCAAUUUGAGCUUAAUUGAGAAAAUUAGAAUUUUAGAAGACCAAAUUUAAUUUCCAUAAAGUCAAUUGGUUCAAAUUAGAGGUAAAAUUGCAAGAAAAUCAAUUUUUUAGGGUUAAAUUGAAGAGAUUCGCAACUAAGGAUCAUUUUGCAAAAAACAUCGAACUAUGGGGUAAUUAACGAAAAUCAGGAGUGAAAUUGAAGAAAAUUUAAAGUUUGAUGGUCAAUUGAUGGUCAAAUUGCAUAAAUCCAAGACCAAUGACCAAAUUAAAAAAGGUGCUGAAAUUCGGGGCUGAUAUUGAAUUCGGCAAGGGCAAAAUUGUAUUAAAUCAAAAGUUUGGAGUUAAUUAGAGGUCAAAUUGAAAGAAAUCAAAAGCUGAAUGAUCAAAUUGAACUUUGGAAAAAAAACCUUAAUUUAAGGUCCAAAACGGAGUUGUUUUUUAACAUUAAAAAAUAAGGCAACCAGACGACGCGUCGUCUGGUUAAUGUUCAUUGCCUUCUUUUUUUGACCUGAAAAAGUUGUCUGGAUGGCUAUUUUUCAGGGGCAUUUAAUGCUUCAUCUCUCAACCAAAUCGGACAAACCAUACACCACCAUGAUGAGCUGACAUUAUACUUCACCCCAUAGUGGAUCUCGCUGGCUAAUUGUCCUUACAGCCGCCACAGUGUCGCCUCAAAUUGGUCAACAUGACCAACCUUUAGCAACCAACUUUUUCAGGUCAUGAUAACAACUUUGAACCAAAGGUUAAGAUCCUUCUGUUUCGAAUCAAGGGCCAAGAUUGGCACCAGUAAAGACAAGAUGUUCAUCUUUCAUCCUCUAUAAAUAGAGGUGCAUUCCAUGCCCUGAGCAUCAAGAAAUUAGAGCCCAAAUUUGGUGAAAAUAAGUUUUUCUUACCAGAUCUUUUCUUCUUCUCCACCAGCCAUCUUCUUCCUCUUUUUUCGCAACAUCUUCACUUGCAGCGAUGCUGCCAACAACACAUUGGCCUUCCUAGCACUGCUAAUUAGCAAUCCCCCAUAGUUGGUAACCUUUUUCUUCCCCUUUUUUGAUGCAAACAAGGAUCCAUUUGCAAGCAUAACAUUGGUUCUGCAUGCAAAAAUCAACCACUUCACAUGGUCAUUGGGUCAGGCCAAUGACCAUGUAAAGAUGGGUUGAACCCAUUCCAACCCAGCCCAUGAUGGCUUGAUCGAGUCCAGCCCAUAAAAAAGAAAAGAUGAAGGCCAGGUCUAUUGGGCUGCCUGGCAGCAUGACCCGACCCGGCUAGGUUUGGCCCAGAUGUCUGGGUAGGGCCCAGCCCAAUAUAUAUAAUAAUAAUAUAUUAAUAAAUAAUAUUAAAAUAUUAAAAAAAUCGAAAGCCCUUCCAAAUAAUUUGUGAUUUUCUCGCAUGUUUUUUUUUUUUUAUCAAUUUUGCAUGAUAUUAGGAUGUAUAAUUAUACUAUAUGAUACAUAUCCGAUAUUAAAAUACCUAGUUUUUUCUGAAACAUUUCAAAAAAAAAUUCAAAAAUUCAAAAAAAAAUUCAAAAUUUUUAAAUUAAUUUCCUCUUUCAAAAAAACAAAAAAUAUUUUGUUUUCAUGUAUAUAGUCAAAUCCUUAAAGUUUUCCAAGCAUGUUUUCAUAAAAAAAACAAAAAAUUGUAUUUUUCUCAUGUUUUAAAAUGUAAAAUGGAUAUCAUAACUAAUUUAUGAUUAUCUGUUAGGGUUUAGCCAAAAUGUCAAAAACCCUUCACCAACUAUUUUUUUCAUUUUAUAUUAUGGUUUAAAUGUAGACUUAAAUAUUUAGGGGCGUAAAACUAUACAGUAGAGUACACCCUCAGGUAUUAAAGAUAAAAGUUCAAUAUAAAUGCAAUUCUAAAAUUUAGACUUUAGAACGGUUGGAUUCAACCUCAUAAGGUAUAGAUUUUCUCACGAAGAGAGAUAUAUAUAUAUCUUAAACCUUAGACGAUUCCAACGAAUAGAAACUUAACUUAGAAUAACAAUUAAAUAACAAUGUAGCUUACUUCAGGUAGGCUGUACUGGAGAUAAUACGCAUUUUCCUUGCACAAUCAGUCUCUUAAUCAAACUCUCACAGACCAUAGAUUUCAUAGUAACUAUUAUACUAAGUAGCGACUCUUAAAUCUUAAUUAUAAUUUUAUAGUUACAUCCAAAACUCUUUUCUUUCCUAAUAAUACCUCUCAAGAGGCACUUAAAAUGGGUCGUUUGACGUCGCCCGUGACAUAAUCCAUUAAACAUGAAAUGGAAAUAAAUAAGUAAAGAAUAUUGCAAGCAUCAAGUUGUAGAAGUCCAUCUCUGGAAAAAAAAAAAAAAGAAGAAGAACAAGAACAAGAAAAAAUUCAGUUCGAACCUUAAUUAAGUUUGUUUAAAUCUCUAUCACACCCAUUAUUUAAUGUUUGACAAACAACACAAGUAGAAUAGGUGAAAUCAAACCUAUAGUACAAUAUUUGCAUUUUUGUUGUGUUGUGAGAAAAAUAAAUAAAAAAGAACAUGGUCCGUCUCGGAAGGAGAAGGGAAAUUGACCGUUGUCGCUGCUUUUGACAGGGGGUUUGAAAUUAGCAACACCAUCUUGGGAUCUUCGAGAAAGUCAACUUUCAUUUAAUUUUCGACUUUAUACACACGGCUAGCCCACCGAAUUUUAUUAGGGGAAAACCCGUUCCCAAGUUGCCAUUGCCAUUAGAUUAAGACUUAUGGCUCGCCUGUUUAAGAUAGUUCUCAUAAUAAAAUUUUAGUGGCUGACCGACCGAUCCUCGAAGCAGCAGAUUCUGCAAAGCGUCCAAAAACCAUGCAGCAAAGGGUAAUUAGAAGCAUGUCAGAAAGCAAAAACCAAAUGGAAACUGGGUGCUAACUAUAUUUCUGACUGCUCGUCAACUGUCUGUGUGCCCCUCAUUUACGUAUAAAUGAGCACAAGACCAGCUUCUUAUUCAUCAACAUCAAAUCAGUUAUCUCGAAACCUUCUCUUUAUUUCACAGAGCACAGAACCAACUCCUGAUUCAUCAAUAUCAUAUUAGCUCUCUCUAAAGCUUCCCUUUAAUUUACGGUUUUAAACCUUCUCUAGUUCUAGUUUGUGAGUAAAUUAAGAGAGACCAAAAAUGAGUGUGGAGAUUUUGGAUGGUGCCACCAUUGUCAACUUUCUGGAGGACGAGGAAGCAUUCAGCGCGCAAAUAUGUGACCGCUUCGCCCACCUUGAUUCAGACCAUGAUGGCCGGCUUUCCUACGGGGAAAUGUUGAAGGAGCUGCAGUGUUUGAGGUUAUUGGAAACCCACUUCGGCGUAGAUGUGG